AAAUAAUGUCAAAUAAUGGGGCUUAAACGGGGUUUUAGUAAAUCAAACCACACAAUUAGACAAUUUUUUCACAAACUAUCCAUCAUUUCAUAGAUUUAGUAGCUGACAUAAUGGACUAAUUAUCCAAGACAUAAACAGAGCCUUAACGGAUUAGAAGUUACACAAUAAAUUAAUAGGACCAUCCUUAAAAGAGUAUUAAAAACUAGUCAGAAUUUAAAAGUAUUUUAAUAGGAGUAUAGGACCAGCAAUAAACGGAGCAUUAAAAGAGCCAAGAAAAAAUGAUGACCCAAAAGAAUCGAGUUUUUUGAAGUAAUCGUAUCAAUACCCAAGAAAAAUUCAAAUAAAGACUUGAAGAUAACAUAAUAUGGAAGAAUAAGUAUGUAUUGCAUGAGUUAUAAAAGUUACCUGUGGUGUCGAUGCAAGAGACGAAGUUAUUAUAACAAGAUUAAUGUUCACGAGAAGGAAACGCAAAGAGGGAACUGGGAAAGAAGGAUGGCAGGGGAUUUUAGUGAUUGAAAGAAGAAAAAUGUGUUAUUAUCUUUACAGGUUUG
rnacentral:lncRNA from 1 species